GGCCUUGCCUCAUGACAUUGUGAUGUUCAGUGAAACAGCACAGCUAAGCCUCUUCGAAGCCGCUUCUACCGCCAUCUGUGCGAGCACGUACGUCGUCUGGAUCUACGUCGAUCACAUGCGCGACAACUAGAUAGUGAAACCAGCGAUAGUUGGAAGCACGAGUUGAAGAAUGGACGAUAGGCGGUCUACUUGAAAGAAAGGCGGUGACGUGUUGUCUUCUAUCAUAUUUAUCUUUGUGCUUCCGUCUUCGGUCGUUAGAUGCUAGGAGAUAAAGCAGCUACUUGCUUUCGACCAACGUAUGUUGCAGCGCAUCGCAGUCGACUAGAGGAGACACACGCACGAUUCAGAUAGGCUCUUUAUUGCGCAGUAUCAGACAAUGAAGAUGCAUUGCCAGGACAGUGUGAAGAUCACGGAACUUGCUGACAAGGUGAAAACUUCUUUUGCCUUGGAGACGAUCACAUCCAUCUGAGGCUCAGGUCUUGUUUCUGCAAUUUAUUGAUGUACUGCUGCAGGUGGCAGUUGCUGAUUGAGUUGACUCAUGUGCCUUCUAAUCUUCCUAGGGGAGUUGAUUUCAUACAACUUGUAGCUCAUCUGGGCAAUACGGCUAGUCAGCAAGAUCAAAACUAUGUGGGCAAAACAACAAGUCACAUACCAAAGCACAGCUACUAUUAAUUGGAGCACUUUCUUCACUUGACUGUGGCUGGAUCAGGUGUGGAAUGUUUAAACUCAUGAUAUCUGGCUUGGAUUGAUGAACAGAAUAGGGAUUUGGCGGUGGUUAUCUUUUACUCACAUAGUUGUAUCUAUCCUCUAUGUGCAUUUACUUGUUCUGUAUAUAGAUUAUUUAUCAAGUAGCUGAAAACCGACUUGGUGGUUAGUGGACUAUACAUGUGUGUGUGUGUGUGUGCGUGUGUGUGUGUGUGUGUGUGUGUGUGUGUGUGUCUUUGUG